CAGCACAAGUAGUAGCCAAUCCAUUAGACAAGAACCACAUUAUUGUGGAUGACUUCACGCUUAACGUUUGGGACAUGGGGACCCCAGGAGAUUUCUAACAGAGAGUCGAUUUUGAAAUUACACUGCGCUUGUUUUGCUCUUUAAAUUUAGUACAAGACCCCCCUUCGUAAAUUGCUGAUUAAUUCUUCUGAUUCAAUUUGAUGAUAUUAUGAAAUAUAACCUGUUGAAUGCCAGUUCUCCAUUACAGGAGUCAUUUAGAUAUGAAGAAAAAGUCUGCCGAUAAAAAAAGGGAAAAAGAGAUGAAAAAAAAGUAUAGUUUCUCCUUAAUACAAGUCAAGUGAGAACUAUAGCGAUUAUCAAAAGCGGAGAGCUCUAUUUGGAUGGAUGAUCCCUUGUCGACCAUCAUAUACCCCCCACCUCCCCCUCCACACCCACACCCUACAUCCGCCCAUCAUCAUUGUCUUCAUACCACCAAUCAUCGUCUUCAUAACCAUCAUGAACCGAUUCACCUAAAAAAUGUAAUAAAGAACAAGAUCACACAACUAUAAAGCAUAUUUAAGGCUCCAUUUAGUUUCGAAAAAGAGAUUUGACAGUAUACUUUAAUGAUAGUGACAUAAAUUUGGAUUGAUACAUAAUAUAUAGGCAGGGGCGGAGAGCCAGGAGGGAUAAAGUGUGAAAUAUAUAUAUUAGCUAUAAUAUAUAUAUAUAUAUAUAUUUUAGGGCAAAGUUUUGUAAAAAAAAUAUUAUGAACUAGCCGAAUUUUUUUAUGGUUUUUUAUGAAUGACAAAGAUAACAUUGGAUUAUGAGGUAUUGGAAUAAUGGAGGAUAUCUGGGUGUAAUUUGCUACGUAUGGCAAAUAUACCAAACCAAACCAAAAGUUUUGUUGUCCUAAUCCUAAUAUCCAGGGGGUAUCAGGUUCCAAUCGUUUUUCUCAGAUAUACUAAAUAAGUCAUAUCAAUUUUUUUUACCUAUAGCCCCUAUGACCUACACCUAUGUUUAAUUAGGUAUUCCUAAUGUGGUAUCCUUUAUUUUCUUAUAGUGAUCCAAUCCGCUUUAUUAUCGUGGAAUUCUAUUGGCCAUGUUGACAAUGACCAAAGUCGAUUCUCUUUCAACUUCCAAUGGGGCUACUCCUAACCAGUUCAUGGAUGCAUUCAUUUCUAUUUCAAUCCUCGUCUCAUCACACAUCCAACUUAGUAUCAUUGUUUCAGCUACACUCGUUUUAUUUGUGUUAUUUCUUAUUUACUCGCAUUGUUUCCAGUGAAGCAUCUUGCAAUUCUUCUAUAUAUGGUUUCCUCCAAUUUCGUUGGUACCUGUCGAUUGCUCAAUAUGCAAGAAGUACCUCUCCAAUUGAACAAACUUUGGUUCUGUGUGGUGCACCCCGUCCAAUUUCUACAUCCUCAUUAAUUGUCAAACCUAGAUAGAGACAUUGUUCUCUUUGAUAUCUUCUUGUCUUCAAUGUUCACUUCUUUGCUUUUUCUACAUCUAUUGUUACGAAACCACAUUCCACAUUUCAACUUUUGCUCUAAUUAUUUUAAACCUUUUGACUAAUCGUUUCUCCCUAAUGAAGGCAAUUGGUGAUGUAGGCAAUCUGUUGUCCAUCUAGGAAUUCGUGAUAGGUGCUAAGACGAUGUGAACCGCAAGAGGUGGAACGAUGAGAGAGAGAGAGAGAGAGAGAGAGAGAAUGGGCACUUUCAUAAUGGGUAACAUAGGGGAGUAAACAUGGCUAACCUAGAGGAUAUUCACAAUAUGACCAUAAACUUUCCUUCCAUGAACGAGGAGUUUGAUGUUUUAUCUACGAAGGAAGUUUAUCUAAUAAUGAUCAUCGUGUUUGAAAGAAUGGAAGUGGGUAUAUUAAACAAGGUGCGGUAAUAGCUUUUUAAGGUGAGGAAGAGAAACUUAAACAACGAGAAAGAUAAAUAUGAAAAAAAAAAACAAAAAAAAAAACCUAAGCAUCAAGUUGAAACAUUUGAAAUUAGAAGAAAAUUGGGUUUAUUGAUGGGAAGACUCAAGAAUGAGUCUUAUUCAAAACUAGAUUCUUCAUGGGAUGUAAGCAAAUGAAAUCCGCACGCUUAAAGUUGAAGGAUUGAGAAAGGAGAAAGAGAGCUUGGGUUAAAUUUCAUGGAAAUAUUGUUACAACGAAUGUGUAUCACAAGAAUAAAGGAAGUCAAACUCCAUGUUAGAAAAAGGUUAAAAGAAGAAGACUUAUCAAAAGGAAAGGCUUAAACGAAUCUUUCUAAGCCAAACACAUAACCUAGUGCCGUUAGAGAUUCCAAAUGAUUGGUGUAAGGAAAAACUUGUUAUUACACCAUUAAAGGACCACAUGCAAAAUCAAUGUAUAUAUACCGCAAUCGUUGCGUCCCAACAGGAAAUAUGUCUCGAACCACCUCAAGUUUUUGCUAGGGUCUCAAAAUGCAACAAACAAAAACAUUGAGAAUGCAAGUUAAAUGCUCAGGACCCAUGUGGAUGUGAAAACUGCCAACUCUUCACAAGGGCCUUUUUCUUUAAGAGGAGAAAUACUAAUAUAGGGGUCUUGUAUGAAUUGGAGGUGAAUUCCAAAAUUCUAUGGCCAACAUAGCAACUUGGGAGUUAGGAUAAAAGGGCUUUAUUGUAUUAACUUAAGACAAAUUAUCAAUGUUAAAUUGUAAGCUCAUUUCACGCGUGUUGAGAAUUUAAGUCAAAUCAUAAGAAGUAUGAGCAACCUAAUAAAGGUUGAAAGUUGGUUGUGCCUGUCAAAAGCUGCUAAAUGUGUAGACAGGCGUACAAUUUAUUUCAUUUUACUUAUCUGGAGUGACGGAGAGUAACGAGGAAGAGUUAGAUUGCUGCUUCUGCUGCCAUAUUUUUUUUUUAAUUUAGAAUGUUUUAUAUUAUAUUCCUUUUAAAUGGCAUAAAUUAUAAUUACACUCCUCUAAAAACUUACAAUGAUUGGGUGGUUAACACUUUUACGUGAUAAAUUAAUGUUGGGCAGCAUAUGUCUAUUAUCCUUCAGGAAAGGGUGGACAUAUAGAGGUAGACUCUUUUGAGCAAAAUAUAUCUUUCUUAAAUAUUAGUUUGGCUGAUACGUAUCUCGUUAUCUCUAUAAAAAGUUUCUAUUGCUUGUCUUUGUAAUUUAUCUAAAACUCCUUGAGAUCCAACUAACAGACAUUGCUAUUGGCUUACAGCUGUGGAGUGGAUUUACUUCUGCUUUGCUAUCCUUUGAAUUGAUACUAAUUAUUAGUGUGCUUAUGCUUAAGCAAUUUACUUUACUCUGAGAAUGUAGUGAAACCCUUAACCCCCCAGAAAAAACAUGGUAUUGUUAGUAGUUCGCCAUGCUGGUUUAGUUAUUGACAAUGAGUACUGGAAUUGUUUUUUUAUGCUCAUCGUGCAGUGAGGUUGCAUCUAUCGGGUGUGAAACUACCCUAAUCAAAGUAUUGUUGAAACUGCUCUCUGCAGUCUUCAGAACUUGGAGUGCUGCCUUUGUCGUGUUCCCAUAUUUCUCGUAAAGUAUUACAAGCCUUAUAGCUUGCAUGUGCAAUUGAUUGCAGUUGUCCCUUAUACUGAGCAAGUGUCUUAAUGUGUACAAUCUUCGGUUUUUCUUUUAAGGAAAUGCUAGCUUGAAGGCCUGGCCUCUCUGGGAUUGUAUCGAUAUUGUUCACUGGAAUCGUAAGCAAUAAUGAUAGACAUUUUUUUACAGUGUGUUGCCCUAUCCUGUUGUGCAUUGUUGUAAUUGAGUUGGUUUGUUGUUAGUUUUAGGUAAUGAAGCACCACAAAAUUCUCAAUUUGUCAGACAAUUCUCAGCGAUUUGUUAUCUGUUUUUUUCCAUUGAUAUCAUCACUAGCAGAAAAAACAUUUGUGUAGGGAGCAUUUCAUUAUUUCACCAUUAAGAGUUGUUAAAUUUUGAUUCACUUUUUCUGCCACCCCUCUUAAGGAUGUUGUUUUCCAUUACCAUCUGUCCACCACACAUGAUAGGCAAGUAUAAGAAAUGCAGGACAAAGCCAAGGCCAAUACUAAAACUAAGAUUUUUGUGAAUCAAUUUUGGGCUCACCUGCAAUGGUAUAGGUCCGGCCCUCGCUUGGUGUCGGUCUGCCCUCGUCGAUGCCUCACUUGCCAGUGAAUGUCGUAGGACCAGGCCAUUUCGUCAUCACAUCUAGCUUGCAGCUCCAUAAAGGUCUUGACUGCAUUUCAAUUCAAAAUGCGGCAUUUACGAUUUCAUAGCACGAGGCAUUCGUUUGGAGGACUAGGAGCACAGAUACAGGUAAACCCGAACAGCCACCACUCAAGCAUAGUUGCAUGUUCCGCGGGUUGAAUCAACCAAAAACCGGUCACCGACACAGAAAGUGUAACGACGUCCCAACAUUUAGUAUAAGUAAUCCUUCUCCAACUCAUCUAAAAUGGAAAUAUAGGGAUCAUCCUAUGGUCAAUAGAAUCUAUCCCUACAGGUAGGCAGGAUACGUCGGGACUGGAAAAGCAGCCACCCUCAAGCACGGGAGAGCGUGGAAUCCGUGUCCGCAAUUCGAGGGGACCAUGAGACGAAAAUGUUCCAGUAGAGCAUUAGCGGUUGAAUAUGGAACAACCCUCCCCGCGUAAUGCAAGAGAUUGGUCGAUCGUCUCACUCACCUCUCCUUCCAGGAAGAGAUUUCUGAUAGAUUGUUCUACGUCUUCUUCCUCUUCUUCUAUAGAAAUGGAUUCUUCCUCUUCUUCCAGGAAGAGAUUUCUGAUAGAUUGUUCUACGUCUUCUUCCUCUUCUUCUAGAGAAAUGGAUUCUUCCUCUUCUUUCAGGAAGAGAUUUCUGAUAGAUUGUUCUACGUCUUCUUCCUCUUCUUCUAGAGAAAUGGAUUCUUCCUCUUCUUCCAGGAAGAGAUUUCUGAUAGAUUGUUCUACGUCUUCUUCCUCUUCUUCUAGAGAAAUGGAUUCUUCCUCUUCUUCCAGGAAGAGAUUUCUGAUAGAGUCAUCUUCCUCUUCUUCCAGAGAAACGUCGAUGUCUUCUUCCGCCAUUGUCAUGUCGCUCGAACCUUCCCUGCUCA
rnacentral:lncRNA from 1 species